UACGGAGGAUGCAAGCGUUAUCCGGAUUCAUUGGGUUUAAAGGGUGCGUAGGCGGAAUAGUAAGUCAGGGGUGAAAGUUUGCGGCUCAACCGUAAAAUUGCCUUUGAUACUGUUAUUCUUGAGUACAAACGAGGUAGGCGGAAUGUGAUGUGUAGCGGUGAAAUGCAUAGAUAUGUCACAGAACACCGAUUGCGAAGGCAGCUUACUAGGAUGUAACUGACGCUGAUGCACGAAAGCGUGGGUAUCGAACAGG
rnacentral:rRNA from 1 species